UGUUACCUGGAAUGUGUCACAUCCUUUUUUCCACUUUUGUUUGCAUGUGUUGACGGUGGCUUUAGUGCAGCUUUUGUUCUGGUGCUGGUGCCCUUCGGUGCUGCUUAGUGGAUUUGAUGACCGUUUGCCUCUCAGGCAUGAUGUCCUUUAUCCCAUUGUGUUAUUGUGGGUAUGACUGUGACAAACCUGUGCCUGUAAAGCGUUCUGUCUGAUGGAUUCUCCCUCUUGUUCUAUGCUGUGAUUGUUUGCUGCUGUCUUCGCACUGUUAAAGUGCUGCUGUUUAUACAGCCGCUCAGACACCGUCGUCACCAUUAAUUAAAGGGGACUGCUUAUCUGUUUCUUAUUGUGCCAUUUUAAUGCCCUGCUUCAUAUUUUUGGUCUGUUAUGGGUGGCUUGACCAUCUCUUUUCGUUUGUAUAAGAAAUAAAAACUAGCCCCUGUCUCUUUGUUUUUCUUUGAUUUAAACCAUUUAAUAUUUUGUUGUUUUCUUUUCUUCUGUUCAAGUAAAGUUUGUUUGGUGUGUUUGAUGGUGUGAUCAGAGUGCACAGGUGUGUGUGUGUGUGUGUGUGUGUGUGUGUGUGGAAGUGCCCUUGUAAAACCAAACUCUUGAUCCCUGCCGCUGGGAACCUCAGCCUUGCUGGUAUUAUUUCAGUUUUUGUUUUACAGAUAUACCAAACAUGUGUAUAUAAAGUUGGUUUGUAUUAUUAUUACUUUUCUGUUCGUAAUUUGUUUUCUUGUGUGAAGUGGGGUUUCUAGCGUCUUUGACUUUAGUGUCCAGUAUUUUAACCCAUUUCUGUAUUAAUAAAC